AUUGAACGCUGGCGGCAUGCCUUACACAUGCAAGUCGAACGGCAGCGGACCUUCGGGUGCCGGCGAGUGGCGAACGGGUGAGUAAUAUAUCGGAACGUACCUUUCAGUGGGGGAUAACGUAGCGAAAGUUACGCUAAUACCGCAUAUUCUGUGAGCAGGAAAGCAGGGGAUCGCAAGACCUUGCGCUGAUUGAGCGGCCGAUAUCAGAUUAGCUAGUUGGUGAGGUAAAGGCUCACCAAGGCGACGAUCUGUAGCGGGUCUGAGAGGAUGAUCCGCCACACUGGAACUGAGACACGGUCCAGACUCCUACGGGAGGCAGCAGUGGGGAAUUUUGGACAAUGGGCGGCAAGACCUGAUCCAGCCAUGCCGCGUGAGUGAAGAAGGCCUCG
rnacentral:rRNA from 1 species